CCUACGGGCGGCUGCAGUGGGGAAUUUUGGACAAUGGGGGCAACCCUGAUCCAGCCAUUCCGCGUGAGUGAAGAAGGCCUUCGGGUUGUAAAGCUCUUUUGUCCGGAGCGAAACGGGCGGCCCUAAUACGGUCGUCUACUGACGGUACCGGAAGAAUAAGCACCGGCUAACUACGUGCCAGCAGCCGCGGUAAUACGUAGGGUGCUUACUGUAAUCGGAGUUACUGGGCGUAGUGCGGGCGCCCGCGGGUGAAAGCCCCGGGCUCAACCUGGGAAGGGCAUUUGGGACUGCAAGUCUGGAGUGUGGCAGAGGGGACUAGAAUUCCUGGUGUAGCAGUGAAAUGCGUAGAGAUCAGGAGGAAUACCGAUGGCGAAGGCAGGUCCCUGGGUUAACACUGACGCUCAUGCACGAAAGCGUGGGGAGCAAACAGGAUUAGAUACCCGAGUAGUC
rnacentral:rRNA from 1 species